GACGAACGCUGGCGGCGUGCUUAACACAUGCAAGUCGAACGAAGAGCGAUGGAAGCUUGCUUCUAUCAAUCUUAGUGGCGAACGGUUGAGUAACGCGUAAUCAACCUGCCCUUCAGAGGGGGACAACAGUUGGAAACGACUGCUAAUACCGCAUACGAUCUAAUCUCGGCAUCGAGGAUAGAUGAAAGGUGGCCUCUACAUGUAAGCUAUCACUGAAGGAGGGGAUUGCGUCUGAUUAGCUAGUUGGAGGGGUAACGGCCCACCAAGGCGAUGAUCAGUAGCCGGUCUGAGAGGAUGAACGGCCACAUUGGGACUGAGACACGGCCCAGACUCCUACGGGAGGCAGCAGUGGGGAAUCUUCCGCAAUGGACGAAAGUCUGACGGAGCAACGCCGCGUGAGUGAUGACGGCCUUCGGGUUGUAAAGCUCUGUUAAUCGGGACGAAAGGCCUUCUUGCGAAUAGUGAGAAGGAUUGACGGUACCGGAAUAGAAAGCCACGGCUAACUACGUG
rnacentral:rRNA from 1 species